rnacentral:rRNA from 1 species
GGCCAGACUCCUACGGGAGGCAGCAGUGGGGAAUAUUGGGCAAUGGGCGCAAGCCUGACCCAGCAACGCCGCGUGAAGGAAGAAGGCUUUCGGGUUGUAAACUUCUUUUCUCAGGGACGAAGAAAGUGACGGUACCUGAGGAAUAAGCCACGGCUAACUACGUGCCAGCAGCCGCGGUAAUACGUAGGUGGCAAGAGUUAUCCGGAUUUACUGGGUGUAAAGGGCGUGUAGGCGGGAAAGCAAGUCAGAUGUGAAAACCACGGGCUCAACCUGUGGCCUGCAUUUGAAACUGUUUUUCUUGAGUACUGGAGAGGCAGACGGAAUUCCUAGUGUAGCGGUGAAAUGCGUAGAUAUUAGGAGGAACACCAGUGGCGAAGGCGGUCUGCUGGACAUUAACUGACGCUGAGGCACGAAGGCCAGGGGAGCGAAAGGGAUUAGAUACCCUUGUAC